AUUGAACGCUAGCGGGAGGCCUAACACAUGCAAGUCGAGCGGGGCGGCGGACGGGUGAGUAAUGCCUAGGAAUCUGCCUGGUAGUGGUGGAUAGCGUCCGGUAACGGGCGCUGAUACCGCAUACUAUCACAUGAGGCUCGGUCGGAUUAGCUAGUUGUUGGGGUAAAGGCCUACCAAGGCGACGAUCCGUAACUGGUCUGAGAGGAUGAUCAGCCACACUGGAACUGAGACACGGCCCAGACUCCUACGGGAGGCAGCAGUGGGGAAUAUUGGACAAUGGGCGAAAGCCUGAUCCAGCCAUGCCGCGUGUGUGAAGAAGGUCUUCGGAUUGUAAAGCACUUUUAGCUGGGAGGCGGUACCAACAGAAUAAGCACCGGCUAACUUCGUGCCAGCAGCCGCGGUAAUAC
rnacentral:rRNA from 1 species